UACGUAGGGUGCGAGCGUUAAUCGGAAUUACUGGGCGUAAAGUGUGCGCAGGCGGCCGCGCAAGUCGAGUGUGAAAUCCCCGAGCUUAACUUGGGAAUUGCGCUCGAAACUACGUGGCUGGAGUGUGGCAGAGGAAGGUGGAAUUCCACGUGUAGCGGUGAAAUGCGUAGAGAUCAGGAGGAACACCUGUGGUGUAGACAGCUUACUGGACGAUAACUGACGCUGAGGCACGAAAGCGUGGGUAGCAAACAGG
rnacentral:rRNA from 1 species